CUAAUGAUUCGGGGGGAUUUCCAAGCUGCUUUCGACACAUGUGAGAGAGGUCUGGAGAGCAUUUUAAACGCGGAGCAAAAGGACAGCAGGUAUAGGAAGUUGACGGCUGCACUCAGCAUUGUGGGGAUUCAACCAUUGGCUGAACUAAAUGCGUGCCCUGAGAAAAUACCUGCCAAAGUAAUGCAGAUGUGGUGAGGAAAAUGUAACAUGGUUAAUUUCCAGGUUCUCAUUUCUUCCACCCCAUUAAUAACAGUGCUAUACACUGUAGACACUGGGCAUUGUGGUGAGGUCAGAGGUAUUGCAUUCACAGAGGACCAGAAACAAACAGCACUGGAUAUCAUGGAGAAUAAAGAGAACGUCCGCCAAGAACAAUCCCCAAGCCCUAGUCCCAACCCCAGUCUUGUGGUGGAGCUGCUGGACUUAACACACCUCAAGGUGCUGUGAUUCAGAAACUUGAGGCCUUGCUUAGACUUUUGAACGGAGGACUAUCGGUAGCCAGUGCUGGGUCAUUCCCUAUUCGGAGAGUCUUUCUGGCUGUGGUCCUUCUCUACAUGCUUUUUGUCCGGAUGGAUCCAGCUCAUCCUUCAUCUUUCCCAUGGAUCUCACAGAUGCUGCAGAUGCUGAAGCAGAUGUGGGACGCCAUGUUUGCUCCUUACUAUCGAGCCUGAGCUCAGAGCUAACUGUAAAACCAUACAGCCUGGUGCUAGGAUAUCAGGUUUAAAUUUGACUGAGACUGAAGAGCUCACCAUUGACCAUCUAAUCAUGUAAAUAUUAAUAAGGGACUGAGAUAAAUAGAGAAAUUCAGGGGGGCUUUUGUUGGCAAAAACAAACUUGAGGGGAGGGGGGGGGUGAUGCGUGUUUGGACCAAUACUGGCUGUAUCCAAGGCUGCGAAUGAGUGAUUGGUAUUUGGACCAAUACUGGGUCUAUCCAAGGCUCAGCCAAUCGUUCUCAUAACUAUGGGGGGUGAUUCAUGCCAGAAUUAAGACAUGUGAAGCUACUGAUUCCUCACCAAGUCACCAAAUGUCUUCCUUGCGCCAUAAAAUAACGCCAUGAAUUAACAUGGACUGUCAAUGGAGACACGUAUUUAAUGCGUCAAACUGCCGACUCAUUCACGUCAUGUGACACAUACACGUCAUGUAGACUAGUGUUCAUGUCGUGUAACGUGUCAGUUUGUGUGUAGGUUUAUUUUGAAUGAUCUUACCAUGAACGCCUUAACGUCUACAUGUGUUACGUGUAAUUUUAAGUGUCUGUUUAGUUUAUUAUUCUCACCAUGAUCUCACCUUACAAACGUCUACAUGUAAAUGUUUUUAUAAAAAUAUAUUUUUAAUUUG